rnacentral:snRNA from 1 species
CUACUUACCUGGCAGGGGAGACACCAUGAUCACGUAGGUGGUUUUCCCAGGGUGAGGCUCCGCCAUUGCACUUUGGGCUGUGCUGACCCCUGCGAUUUCCCCAAGUGCGGGAAACUCGACUGCAUAAUUGGUGGUAGUGGGGGACUGCGUUCGCGCUCUCCCCUG